AGAGGAAGCUGCAUUAAAAGCUGCAGCAGCUGAGUGACCUACUCUAAAUGAGCCUCGGUGAAGAAAAGAAACAAGGGAAACAGCUUCAAUUGAGAAAAAACAGGAAGUUGGGCCAGAGGCUGGGGCAGCAGGGAGCUAAAUGCCGAAGAAAAGGCAGUACCCUCGGAGCUCAGAAGGACCAGCUUGAUUCUCCCAGAGGUGGGAAGAACAGAUGCCUUCACCAGGAUGAGCUGGGCAGAAUGCCGCACUCACUAUCAGAGCUCUGGGUAGGUGAGCGGGAGGGUUUGGGUGCUGGGGGAGUUUGUAGGGAAGAAGUGAAAAAGUGA
ensembl:lncRNA